rnacentral:misc_RNA from 1 species
AAAAUAAGAGAUCUGAAGUGAACUUAUCCCAGUUGGUUUUUGCGCGGGGAAAAGUACACCCAAGGUCCCUCAACUU